rnacentral:rRNA from 1 species
UACGUAGGGUGCAGGCGUUAAUCGGAAUUACUGGGCGUAAAGCGUGCGCAGGCGGUUUCUUAAGUCAGAUGUGAAAGCCCCGGGCUUAACCUGGGAACUGCGUUUGAAACUGGGAGACUUGAGUGUGGCAGAGGGGGGUGGAAUUCCACGUGUAGCAGUGAAAUGCGUAGAGAUGUGGAGGAACACCAAUGGCGAAGGCAGCCCCCUGGGAUAACACUGACGCUCAGGCACGAAAGCGUGGGGAGCAAACAGG